rnacentral:rRNA from 1 species
AGUGAACGCUGGCGGCGUGCCUAAUACAUGCAAGUCGAACGGAGAUUAAGUAGCUUGCUAUUUAAUCUUAGUGGCGCACGGGUGAGUAAUAUAUAGCUAACUUGCCCAUUACUAAGGGACAACAGUUGGAAACGACUGCUAAUACCUUAUACUCCGUAUCUAUAUAAGUAGAUACGGGAAAGUUUUUCGGUAAUGGAUAGGGCUAUAUCGUAUCAGCUAGUUGGUAAGGUAAUGGCUUACCAAGGCUAUGACGCGUAACUGGUCUGAGAGGAUGAUCAGUCACACUGGAACUGAGACACGGUCCAGACUCCUACGGGAGGCAGCAGUAGGGAAUAUUGCUCAAUGGGGGAAAACCUGAAGCAGCAACGCCGCGUGGAGGAUGACACUUUUCGGAGCGUAAACUCCUUUUCUUGGGAAAGAAUUAUGACGGUACCCAAGGAAUAAGCACCGGCUAACUCCGUG